rfam:Gossypium raimondii Chr12_contig_807, whole genome shotgun sequence.
UAUUAAAAAUUUCAUUCCAUUUUUACUGUUAAAAACUGGCGCAGAUGACCAAAUAACUAGACAUACAGGUUCCAGUUUUUAAUAGUAAAAAUGGAUGGAAUUUUUAAUA